AUAUCAAUACUUAAGUUAGAUUUACAGAAUGGACUUUGACUUAUCAGAGUGGACGGUGGAUAGCAAUGCGGUACAGUUAAAUAAACAAUUAUUUGAUUCUGCAGGCGGUCCCUUAAUUAAUGACUUAUUUCAAAAGCAUCAACUUACUCCCUCACCUGGUGUGAAGGUAAAAAAGAAAA